UUCUCCGACCGAAACAACCUCCGAUCUGUUGCGGAUCAUCCAAGUGUUUGGUACGAGGAGAAAGCUAAUGAAAUGCCCUGUCCAAUCACGUAGGUCAAAUGGCGAUAUUAUUUUGUAGUUCUUUUAAAAGAGCCAAUCAAAUGAGUAAACCAAACCCUCUUGUUGCUAUGCCUGUCAAGAUCAAGCUCCGUGAUUGGUCAAACGCCCACCGCGUGCUCUACGGGCAUGCGCAGUUCUCUCACUUACAUCCGCAACAAACCAGCAUGGUUAGUGUUAUUGCAAGUUUGAUUAAUGUUUCGUCUCGUAAAUAGCCGUAUUUACUCCUCAUUUUUGGACAACAAUGACAAGGACAAAGGCGACUGGGAGUCUGAUGAUGACUGGGAUGCCUUUGAUGAUGAAAAAGACGAUCGAGUGCACGAACUGGGAACAGAUUCAGCAGUGGAGAAGACCAAUGCGAUUUUUUUUUUACCGCGGACGUAUCUCCCAAUUCUGGCUAUGAAAAGACCAAUAAUCUUUGCAUCAGCAAGGAAAGACUAACAGGCUUACUGAAAUGGUACUCCACUGGGACAGGACAGGAGGGAGAAAAAUGUCUCGAGAUCCCUUCAGCUGGACAACAUCAAAGGAGAGGUGACAUUCAUCCAACAACAAGGUUCACAAAAUGCCCUAGUGCUCACUGGACAUGUCCCUGGAUUUAAACGUGAUGAUCUACAGCCCCUGCCUUCAGUUCACACUGCCACCAAGGUCAACCAAAGCUACAAAGAUGUUCUUCUUGGGACAGAGAAGAACUAUUGGACCAUCAAGCACCAACAAGAGUGGAGCCUUGAAGAGAGCGACGCAUCUCUGAAUCUUACACUGACUCUGAGAGUGCCCAUAGACAGGUUGUGGGCGUGGAGAUGAACUUUUAAAUCUGUAAAUAUGUGGCAAGUACACAAGAGAAUACGUGAGUAAUGUGUGUGUGUGUGUGUGUGUGUGUGUGUGUGUGUGUGUGUGUGUGUGUGUGUGUGUGUGUGUGUGUG